CGGUCAUUUUUGGUUACAUUAAACACUUUAUUGAAACAUAAAUUACACUUUCACAACACAUUUAGAAUUCUUCAUACUCACGAAUGGCGUCAUACUGUAAAGUACCGGGUCGAGCCAAGCUGCGGGAAACUUGUCGACAAUCUGCGUUGCCUCUGUUCAGCAAAUUCUUACCUGUCGAUGCACGCACUGCAUGUGCGUCUGUACACACUGUUCACUUCACACUUUAUCAAAACACACCGGCGCACGAGACUUAUAACGAAAUGCGCAUCAACGCACUAACACUGCGCGCGGAACUUAGAACAAAACGCGCACAACCAUCUCCCACAAAGCGUCGCGCUGUACUGGUGAUUUUGUACGCGUAGGAGGGGGGACAUACGGAGCGAUGGUUCAAUGCUGUAGUGUAAGCGAGACAACACGAUGUGACGAGCAGAUCCAAGUUGGUGAGCUCGCUGAAAGAAGACACACACAUUCACAGACGGCUCGUCAAAGCACGGUAUUUGUAUUGGUGUUAGUGAAGCGCGCGUGUAAAACAGAAUGCGAACUCUCAUCGCAGCGCGUUUCUCCGUGCUUCCUCAAGCUUCCUCAUACCCCUCGGCAAGAAUCACUCAAAAUUUGGGGUCUCAUUGUUUGCGUGGAGGUGUCCCUCCCGACAAUGGCACUCAAAUUCUCUCAUUUUCUCAUGCCCUCUCUGUCACAUUCGUAGCUCGAUCUCCUUCUUCUGGGACUUAGCGUUCUGUGCAUGCGGUUUUUGCAACGGUCAUUUCGUGCCGCUUCGAUCUCAUCACCUUCUUUCCCCUCCCACCCCUCUUUUUGAUCCUCGCUUUGGGGCUUGCAAAUUUUUGACAUGUCAAAUGAGAGUGAAGCUAAAAUGUAAACAACAAGUGUUCGCGUGUGCCGUGAUUUUGUAAGUAUUUUAUGCAAAUUAUAUGAUAUUUAUCAUUAAAAACGUUUUGUUUUGUAGAAUAAACAUAAAAUCAACCACGGAAGUAUGAUUUAGUUGUGGUGGAAGCGAAAAAAAAAUGCUUGGAGCAUGGAAUAAAACCGGAUGAAAUUUCUAGCCUUCACGCACGAUGCCGACGCUGAGGUAAGGUGUGCUUGUCUUUAAUUUCGAUGAUUGUUUCAUUCGAAUUGCACACAACAACCACCCACAAUCACAGCUGUAAAAGUAACACGGAUAGGUAGCAAGGAAAUCAAGCUUGUACACAGAAAUCUACACAAAAACUGGGUUUUAUAAGCGCACGAAAAGCGACGCGGCUAUCUUUGAAUAAAAAGUAAACAAAAGA